CGCAAGCCUGACGGAGCAAGACCGCGUGGGGGACGAAGGUUUGUGGAUUGUAAACCCCUUUUGAUUGGGAAGAAGUUCUGACGGUACCAAUCGAAUCAGCAUCGGCUAACUCCGUGCCAGCAGCCGCGGUAAUACGGAGGAUGCAAGCGUUAUCCGGAAUUAUUGGGCGUAAAGCGUCCGUAGGUGGUUAAUCAAGUCAGUUGUUAAAGCGUGGGGCUUAACCCCAUAAAGGCAAAUGAAACUGAUUGGCUAGAGUGCGAUAGGGGCAAGGGGAAUUUCCAGUGUAGCGGUGAAAUGCGUAGAUAUUGGAAAGAACACCGGUGGCGAAAGCGCCUUGCUGGGUCUGCACUGACACUGAGGGACGAAAGCU
rnacentral:rRNA from 1 species